rnacentral:rRNA from 1 species
UACGUAGGGUGCGAGCGUUGUCCGGAAUUAUUGGGCGUAAAGGGCUCGUAGGCGGUUUGUCGCGUCGGGAGUGAAAACCCAGGGCUUAACUCUGGGCUGGCUUUCGAUACGGGCAGACUAGAGGCAUGCAGGGGAGAACGGAAUUCCUGGUGUAGCGGUGAAAUGCGCAGAUAUCAGGAGGAACACCAGUGGCGAAGGCGGCUCCACUGGCCGGUACUGACGCUGAGGUGACGAAAGCGUGGGGAGCGAACAGG